UGGGCGUAAGAGCUCGUAGGCGGAUUGUCGCGUCUGCUGUGAAAUCCCGAGGCUCAACCCGGGCUUGCAGUGGGUACGGGCAGACUAGAGUGCGGUAGGGGAGAUUGGAAUUCCUGGUGUAGCGGUGGAAUGCGCAGAUAUCAGGAGGAACACCGAUGGCGAAGGCAGAUCUCUGGGCCGUAACUGACGCUGAGGAGCGAAAGCAUGGGGAGCGAACAGGAUUAGAUACCCUGGUAGUCCAUGCCGUAAACGUUGGGCGCUAGAUGUAGGGACCUUUCCACGGUUUCUGUGUCGUAGCUAACGCAUUAAGCGCCCCGCCUGGGGAGUACGGCCGCAAGGCUAAAACUCAAAGGAAUUGACGGGGGCCCGCACAAGCGGCGGAGCAUGCGGAUUAAUUCGAUGCAACGCGAAGAACCUUACCAAGGCUUGACAUACACCGGAAACGGCCAGAGAUGGUCGCCCCCUUGUGGUCGGUGUACAGGUGGUGCAUGGUUGUCGUCAGCUCGUGUCGUGAGAUGUUGGGUUAAGUCCCGCAACGAGCGCAACCCUCGUUCUAUGUUGCCAGCGGGUUAUGCCGGGGACUCAUAGGGAGACUGCCGGGGUCAACUCGGAGGAAGUGGGGGAUGACGUCAAAUCAUCAUGCCCCUUAUGUCUUGGGCUUCACGCAUGCUACAAUGGCCGGUACAAGGGCUGCGAUACCCGUAAGGUGGAGCGAAUCCCAAAAAGCCGGUCUCAGUUCGGAUUGAGGUCUGCAACUCGACCUCAUGAAGUCGGAGUCGCUAGUAAUCGCAGAUCAGCAACGCUGCGGUGAAUACGUUCCCGGGCUUGUACACACCCGCCCGUCAGUCAUGAAAGUCGGUAACACCCGAAGUCCGUGGGCCUAACCCUGUGGAAGGAGCCGUCGAAAGGUGGAAUCGGUGAUUAGGACCAAGUCGUACAAG
rnacentral:rRNA from 1 species